rnacentral:rRNA from 1 species
CAGUCGCCGCGGGAAUACGAAGGGUGCAAGCGUUAAUCGGAAUUACUGGGCGUAAAGCGUGCGUAGGCGGUUUGUUAAGUCUGUUGUGAAAUCCCCGGGCUCAACCUGGGAAUGGCAAUGGAUACUGGCAAGCUAGAGUGUGUCAGAGGAUGGUGGAAUUCCCGGUGUAGCGGUGAAAUGCGUAGAGAUCGGGAGGAACAUCAGUGGCGAAGGCGGCCAUCUGGGACAACACUGACGCUGAGGCACGAAAGCGUGGGGAGCAAACAGGAUUAGAUACCCCAGUAGUCCCUGUCUCUUAUAA